rnacentral:rRNA from 1 species
UACCCAGUAGUGGGGAAUAACCAACCGAAAGGUUGGCUAAUGCCGCAUACGACCUGAGGGUGAAAGGGGGGGAUCGCAAGACCUCUCGCUAUUGGAUGAGCCGAAGUCGGAUUAGCUAGUUGGUAGGGUAACGGCCUACCAAGGCGACAAUCCGUAGCUGGUCUGAGAGGACGACCCGCCACACUGGGACUGAGACACGGCCCAGACUCCUACGGGAGGCAGCAGUGGGGAAUAUUGGACAAUGGGGGCAGCCCUGAUCCAGCGACGCCGCGUGUGUGAGGAAGGCCUGCGGGUUGUAAAGCACUUUUAGUGGGGAUGAAAAGCUCAGGGCUAAUACCCUUGAGUCUUGACCUAACCCAAAGAAAAAGCACCGGCUAACUCUGUGCCAGCAGCCGCGGUAAUACAGAGGGUGCGAGCGUUAAUCGGAAUUACUGGGCGUAAAGCGUGCGUAGACGGUUCUGUAAGUCGGAUGUGAAAUCCCCGGGCUCAACCUGGGAAUUGCAUUCGAGACUGCAAAGCUAGGGUGCGGAAGAGGGAAGCGGAAUUUCCGGUGUAGCGGUGAAAUGCGUAGAU